rnacentral:rRNA from 1 species
AUUGAACGCUGGCGGCAGGCCUAACACAUGCAAGUCGAGCGGAUGAAGGGAGCUUGCUCCUGGAUUCAGCGGCGGACGGGUGAGUAAUGCCUAGGAAUCUGCCUGGUAGUGGGGGAUAACGUCCGGAAACGGGCGCUAAUACCGCAUACGUCCUGAGGGAGAAAGGGGGGGAUCUUCGGACCUCACGCUAUCAGAUGAGCCUAGGUCGGAUUAGCUAGUUGGUGGGGUAAAGGCCUACCAAGGCGACGAUCCGUAACUGGUCUGAGAGGAUGAUCAGUCACACUGGAACUGAGACACGGUCCAGACUCCUACGGGAGGCAGCAGUGGGGAAUAUUGGACAGUGGGCGAAAGCCUGAUCCAGCCAUGCCGCGUGUGUGAAGAAGGUCUUCGGAUUGUAAAGCACUUUAAGUUGGGAGGAAGGGCAGUAAGUUAAUACCUUGCUGUUUUGACGUUACCAACAGAAUAAGCACCGGCUAACUUCGUG